AUCCAAUGACGAGUCCCAAAUAGGACUAAAUGCGCGUUAUCCUGGAU
rnacentral:hammerhead_ribozyme from 1 species